AGUGGAUUAGAAAAUUUUAUGUGCUUUAAUAAGAGGUAGAAAUUAAUUUGUUAAUAAGAACAUUGGCUAAGUUUUAAUAUACUAUUUACUUGUGAAAAAUUCAAAGUGAUAUGAAAGGGUUGGAUAAUAACGGGCCAAAUGUGAACGUUUGCGCGAACUUUGUUGCUAAAGGGUUCUUAUAGGCAACAAAUUAUAUUUAAGUCGAUGCGUUAGAAUAUGGAUCACGUUCUGCCGGUGGUGUUCUAUUUUGCGUGGAAACGGGCAGAUUAUACCAGCGGAAACCAAAAUAUGAAGAUCUCGACGUUUGCUUCACCCGUAGUGUACGCGGCAACAACUUGCUAACCAUUAACGGCAAACCAUAUACAUUAAAUCGACGUAUAAAAGAUGUGUGUUAUUGGGAAUGUGUGAAACUGCGUUGCAAGUACACCAAAUGCACAGCACGCGUUAUCACAAAAUAUGAUCAGAUUGCGUCGUUGCGUGGCGAUCACAACCACUUAUAAAAUUAUAAUAAAAUAUGCUCACUCAAAUAAAUACGAACAUAGAUUAAAUGAAUGUUUUUCGUAAUUUGCUUCCAGCAGCACCUUUGUUUGUAUGGCUCACUAAUAAAAUUAAAUCUAUAGGUACAAAUGCGUCUUGGAUCGAAGCGGAAUUUAAUUUCAAACGCAACAGGCGAGGAGGACUUAAUCUUCUUUAUCAUGGUUACAUGUAUACUGCUGAACGAAGGUAUAACUCUACCAUAAACUGGGUAUGCAGUAAAAACAGUAGCCAUGUACUGCGCUGUCCGGCACGCUGUGUGACCGCGGGUCAGAGCUGCAUUAAACUAAGUCGUAGGUCUCAUAAUCAUUCACCAAUUCAUUGAAGGGUUGAAGUGCAGCAAUGUCCGGAUUCUAUUGGCAAAUAUACAAUAAUAGAAAAUUUCCGCUUUGUGAUUGGAUCACAAUCGGCUAGUAAAUACUACCUCAAGUGCGCCAAUUUUCGGCAAAAAUGUCGCGCCCGUGCAGUUCUUCUUAAGGAUACAAUGAGUUUGAGAUUACGGCACGAUAAUCAUAACCAUACAGCAGAUCAGCAAUGUUUUCCAUCUAAGAAAGGCACCACCCCACGGCACAUAAUUUAAGUGUAUACAUAUGUAUGUGAUUUCUCCGCAAAAGCACCUGUGCAGUACGUACGAUCACGUCGUGGCACUCAUUUAGUGCUACACGAAUACAACACUUACACCCCCAAUGAAAAGGUACGAGAUGGUCGCCACUCGCGAGACUGGAAGUGUUCUAUGUAUCAUAAAGCAAAAUGUCGCGCAAGACUUGUUACGCGACAUACUUCUAAGGGAGAUGUGAUCCAUAUAACCUCAGAUAACCACACACACAAACCAAUGUAUACAGCUGAAGACUUGAAACUGAUGCAGUCAUUGCAGACGCCAAUGAAUGAAGAAACUGAAUCAUUAAUGGAGCGGCAUCGACCUGCACAAUCAUUGCAGUGUCUUCAUCCACUCCACCUACAACAAUUUCAACAGCUACAGCUACAAACACUUUAUCCGCAGUCUGCAGCUGAACCUAUUUUUCAGCCGCAAUUUAAUAAAUUCUUUCCUCGCCCGUUGUAAUAGAAUACUACAUACAUGCUGCAAAUAGCACAGAUAAAUGGCAAUUGGACGCUGCCAACCGUGGUCACCAACACUAGUGGAUCAAAAUCGAACACAGCCGAUAAUUGUGCCGAUAAAGAGAGCAAAACAUCCUCAUUGGCUCUAACCCAAAAGAAUAUGAAUCUCAGGUUCAUUCCAGGACAACGAGGAAAAUCUUUGCUGUGCUUCAACAAUUUCACGUAUGCACAAAACAAUGUUUGCGGUAAUACAACUUAUUGGAACUGUCGUAGCCGACGCGUUGGCCAGAAGCCCUGCAAGGCUCGCAUCACAACAACAAAACAACCAAACGGUCUGUUCAGGGUGUGUCUAACUAAGCCCGAGCACAAUCAUGAACCCUCACCUCGUGUGCUGAGAAAGAUCGAAAAAUCACUUUAAACUUAAUUUAAUAAUAAAUUCAAUUCAAUUCAAUAAAACUUAUAAUGGUGGUUUGUCACA